rnacentral:tRNA from 1 species
GUGCGUGUAGCUCAGCUGGUUAGAGCACAGGGUUGUGGUCCCUGGGGUCGCCGGUUCGAAUCCGGUCACGCACCCCA